ACACGAUACUCGAUACUCGAUACAUAUAGCAAAAAGUAUCGAACUCGUUACUUUUUGCGAUAUGUAUCGAGUAUCGAGUAUCCUGU
rnacentral:pre_miRNA from 1 species